rnacentral:tRNA from 1 species
CCAAACAUGUAGACUAACCCCUACCUUUGCAA